UAAAAGCUUGGUCCUGACUUUUUUAUCAGCUUUUACUAAACUUACACAUGCAAGUCUCCGCAAACCUGUGAGGAUGCCCUUAACGUCCCUUCCCGGACACUAGGAGCCGGUAUCAGGCACUCAUAAUAUGUGCCCGAGACGCCUUGCUUAGCCACACCCCCAAGGGACUUCAGCAGUGAUUAACUUUAAACUAUGGGCGAAAGCCUGAAUUAGUGAGAGUGGGAAGGGCCGGCCAAACUCGUGCCAGCCGCCGCGGUUGCACGAGAGGCCCAAGUCGAUAAAUGCCGGCGUAAAGGGUGGUUAGGGUUUAAAUUAACUAGAGCAGAUACGCUCUUCAAACUGUUAUACGCCCCCAAGAGUAUGAAAAUCUUACACGAAAGAAACUCUACUUAACCUGAACCCACGUCAGCUCUGGUACAAACUGGGAUUAGAUACCCCACUAUGCCUAGCCGUAAACUUAGAUAUCUUGAUACAUAUUUAUCCGCCAGGGUACUACGAGCAAUAGCUUAAAACCCAAAGGACUUGGCGGUGCUUCAGACCCCCCUAGAGGAGCCUGUUCUAGAACCGAUAAUCCCCGUUUAACCUCACCACCCCUUGCCCCCCCCCGCCUAUAUACCGCCGUCGUCAGCUUACCCUUUGAAGGUAAAGAAGUAAGCUCAAUAGUUAAAAACAAACACGUCAGGUCGAGGUGUAGCGCAUGGGAUGGGAAGAAAUGGGCUACAUUCUCUAACACCAGAGAAUUAACGAACGGAAAGAUGAAACUCUUACCUGAAGGAGGAUUUAGCAGUAAGUUAAAACAGAGAGUUUAACUGAAACCGGCUCUGAAGCGCGCACACACCGCCCGUCACUCUCCCCAACAAUACAACUCUCUUCUUAAGAAAUUAAAAGAUCAAGGGGAGGCAAGUCGUAACAUGGUAAGUGUACCGGAAGGUGCACUUGGACUAU
rnacentral:ncRNA from 1 species